CUGAAAACAGUGUCACGGCUGAGAGUAAAUGAGGCUGACAGAUAAAGCCGAUCGGAGCACAGGCAAAGGUGGGCCUUCUGUGACCCGGGGGUUCAGUGCAGUGUCACAGCUUGCUUUGCUGGGCCACGGUGGAAGAACUGAUGACAGGCAGCAAUUAACAAUUAACAAUUAACAAUCAACAAGACUCCAAACGUCUCUCUUUCUGCAAUAGAUAGAGUGGAGACAACUGUGCUAACAACAGGUAUCCAUGUAGACAGCAUUUUUUCUCCAGUGCUACAGAUCAAACCCAAGGACUUCUACAUGGCAUAAAGCACUCCAGGACAGAGAGUGCGGGAUCUUUUGCCAGCUCUGGAGAGUCUGGAAAGGGUAAAAACGGGAGAGGCCCAAGAGGGCCUGCUGCUGCUACACUGAGCCCACUGCUGUUGCAUUUGCUCGUGAUGGUCUGCUGGGUGUUCUGACAAUGAAGGCUGUGCUCACCCCAGGGAAGCCAAUGAACCUACCAUCUGCAGCCUACAGAGGUCUACGCCCCUUUCUCCUCUGACUUCUUCCUCUCCAACCUAGCAUUGGGGAUUUGGAUGGGAUUAAGGUGGAAUGAGGGUAAAGAUAUAAGAAUGCAAUAAAAUAAUAAAACAAUUAGGCCAA